AUCUCUUCAAUGGUCCUCAUGAAAAUGCGCGAGAUUGCUGAGGCGUACCUUGGAACCACUGUAAAGAAUGCUGUUGUUACUGUUCCUGCUUAUUUCAAUGAUUCGCAGCGUCAAGCUACAAUGGACGCUGGUGUCAUUGCUGGCCGUGAUGUGUAUUGUAAAUGAGCCCUCUGCUGCUGCUAUUGCUUAUGGGCUUGACAAGAAAGCGGAUAGUUUUGGUGAGAGGAAUGUGCUUAUCUUUGAUCUAGGUGGUGGCACUUUUGAUGUCUCUCUUGUUAACAUUCAAGAGGGUAUUUUUGAAGUGAAAUCUAUAGCUGGAGAUACCCAUUUAGGAGGGGAAGAUUUUGACAAUAGGAUGGUGAACCACUUUGUUGAGGAGUUUAAGGGGAGGCAUAACAAAGAUAUUAGUGGUAACCCAAGAGCAUUGAG
rnacentral:misc_RNA from 1 species